rnacentral:ncRNA from 10 species
CUUGGCACUGGAAGAAUUCACAGA